UGCAGUCGAGCGGAAACGACACUAACAAUCCUUCGGGUGCGUUAAUGGGCGUCCAUUGGCGGACGGGUGAGUAAUGCCUAGGAAAUUGCCUUGAUGUGUGGGAUAACCAUUGGAAACGAUGGCUAAUACCGCAUAAUGCCUACGGGCCAAAGAGGGGGACCUUCGGGCCUCUCGCGUCAAGAUAUGCCUAGGUGGGAUUAGCUAGUUGGUGAGGUAAUGGCUCACCAAGGCGACGAUCCCUAGCUGGUCUGAGAGGAUGAUCAGCCACACUGGAACUGAGACACGGUCCAGACUCCUACGGGAGGCAGCAGUGGGGAAUAUUGCACAAUGGGCGAAAGCCUGAUGCAGCCAUGCCGCGUGUAUGAAGAAGGCCUUCGGGUUGUAAAGUACUUUCAGUUGUGAGGAAGGGGGUAACGUUAAUAGCGUUAUCUCUUGACGUUAGCAACAGAAGAAGCACCGGCUAACUCCGUGCCAGCAGCCGCGGUAAUACGGAGGGUGCGAGCGUUAAUCGGAAUUACUGGGCGUAAAGCGCAUGCAGGUGGUUCAUUAA
rnacentral:rRNA from 1 species